CAGCUGUAGUUAUGUCUAGCACUGGGCUCCAAUCACCUCUGACGGCACAGUGUCCCCUAGAACCUUUGACACUUGGGGAGCUGAGAGGCCU
rnacentral:snoRNA from 1 species